GACGAACGCUGGCGGCGUGCCUAAUACAUGCCAGUCGAACGCUGAAGGAGGAGCUUGCUUCUCCGGAUGAGUUGCGAACGGGUGAGUAACGCGUAGGUAACCUGCCUGGUAGCGGGGGAUAACUAUUGGAAACGAUAGCUAAUACCGCAUAACAGUAGAUGUUGCAUGACAUUUGCUUAAAAGGUGCAAUUGCAUCACUACCAGAUGGACCUGCGUGGUAUUAGCUAGUUGGUGAGGUAACGGCGCACCAAGGCGGCGAUUCAUAGUCGACCGGAGAGGGGGAUCGGCCACACGGGGACUGAGACACGGCCCAGACUCCUACGGGAGGCAGCAGUAGGGAAUCUUCGGCGAUGGACGGAAGUAUGACCGAGCCACGCCGCGUGAGUGAAGAAGGUUUUCGGAUCGUAAAGCUCUGUUGUAAGAGAAGAACGAGGGUGAGAGUGGAGAGUUCACACUGUGACGGUAUCUUAACAGAAAGGGACGGCUAACUACGUG
rnacentral:rRNA from 1 species